rnacentral:rRNA from 1 species
ACGCUAGCGGGAGGCCUAACACAUGCAAGCCGAGCGGUAUUUGUCUUUCGGGACAGAGAGAGCGGCGUACGGGUGCGGAACACGUGUGCAACCUACCUUUAUCAGGGGGAUAGCCUUUCGAAAGGAAGAUUAAUACCCCAUAAUAUAUUGAUUGGCAUCAGUUAAUAUUGAAAACUCCGGUGGAUAGAGAUGGGCACGCGCAAGAUUAGAUAGUUGGUAGGGUAACGGCCUACCAAGUCAGUGAUCUUUAGGGGGCCUGAGAGGGUGAUCCCCCACACUAGUACUGAGACACGGACCAGACUCCUACGGGAGGCAGCAGUGAGGAAUAUUGGACAAUGGGUGAGAGCCUGAUCCAGCCAUCCCGCGUGAAGGACGACGGCCCUAUGGGUUGUAAACUUCUUUUGUAUAGGGAUAAACCUACUCUCGUGAGAGUAGCUGAAGGUACUAUACGAAUAAGCACCGGCUAACUCCGUGCCAGCAGCCGCGGUAAUACGGAGGGUGCAAGCGUUAUCCGGACUUAUUGGGUUUAAAGGGUCCGUAGGCGGAUCUGUAAGUCAGUGGUGAAAUCUCAUAGCUUAACUAUGAAACUGCCAUUGAUACUGCAGGUCUUGAGUAAAGUAGAAGUGGCUGGAAUAAGUAGUGUAGCGGUGAAAUGCAUAGAUAUUACUUAGAACACCAAUUGCGAAGGCAGGUCACUAUGUUUUAACUGACGCUGAUGGACGAAAGCGUGGGGAGCGAAC